GAACGCAUAUUGCGCUCUCUGGUAUUCCGGAGAGCAUGCUUGUUUGAGUAUCAGUAAACACCUCAACUCCCCUUUCUUUUUUUGAAAUGGGAGCUGGACUUGAGUGAUCCCAACGCUUUUCUCACCGAAAAGUGGCGGGUUACUUGAAAUGCAGGGGCAGCUGGACUUUUCUCUGAGCUAAAAGCAUAUCUAUUUAGUCUGCCUAAAAAACAGAUUAUUACCUUUGCUGCAGCUAACAUAAAGGAGAUUAGUUCUUGUGCUGACUGAUGCAGGAUUCACAGAGACAGCUUCGGCUGGCCUUUGUAAACUCGAUCUCAAAUCAAGUAAGACUACCCGCUGAACUUAAG
rnacentral:misc_RNA from 1 species